GACGAACGCUGGCGGCGUGCUUAACACAUGCAAGUCGAACGAAGAGCGAUGGAAGCUUGCUUCUAUCAAUCUUAGUGGCGAACGGGUGAGUAACGCGUAAUCAACCUGCCCUUCAGAGGGGGACAACAGUUGGAAACGACUGCUAAUACCGCAUACGAUCUAAUCUCGGCAUCGAGGAUAGAUGAAAGGUGGCCUCUACAUGUAAGCUAUCACUGAAGGAGGGGAUUGCGUCUGAUUAGCUAGUUGGAGGGGUAACGGCCCACCAAGGCGAUGAUCAGUAGCCGGUCUGAGAGGAUGAACGGCCACAUUGGGACUGAGACACGGCCCAGACUCCUACGGGAGGCAGCAGUGGGGAAUCUUCCGCAAUGGACGAAAGUCUGACGGAGCAACGCCGCGUGAGUGAUGACGGCCUUCGGGUUGUAAAGCUCUGUUAAUCGGGACGAAGGGCCUUCUUGCGAAUAGUGAGAAGGAUUGACGGUACCGGAAUAGAAAGCCACGGCUAACUACGUG
rnacentral:rRNA from 1 species